rnacentral:rRNA from 1 species
GAUCCUGGCUCAGGAUGAACGCUAGCGGCAGGCCUAACACAUGCAAGUCGAGGGGCAGCACGGUGUAGCAAUACACUGGUGGCGACCGGCGCACGGGUGCGUAACGCGUAUGCAACCUACCCAUAACAGGGGGAUAACACUGAGAAAUUGGUACUAAUACCCCAUAACAUCAGGACCGGCAUCGGUUUUGGUUGAAAACUCCGGUGGUUAUGGAUGGGCAUGCGUUGUAUUAGCUGGUUGGUGAGGG